UACGUAGGGACCGAGCGUUGUCCGGAGUCACUGGGCGUAAAGAGCUCGUAGGCGGCUCAUCAAGUCGGAUGUGAAAACUCGAGGCUCAACCUCGAGCCUGCAUUCGAUACUGGGCGGCUAGAGUCUGGUAGGGGGAUCUGGAAUUCCUGGUGUAGCGGUGGAAUGCGCAGAUAUCAGGAGGAACACCGGUGGCGAAGGCGGGAUCCUGGGCCAGUACUGACGCUGAGGAGCGAAAGCGUGGGGAGCAAACAGG
rnacentral:rRNA from 1 species